AUCGCUUCUCGGCCUUUUGGCUAAGAUCAAAGUGUAGUAUCUGUUCUUUUCAGCUUAAGAGCCCUUAUUCCUUAGAGCGUUCGCCGAUUUUGCGAAAUAACACUCGAUAGAUGGCGCUGGCGCUUGAUACGCGAGCGCCGGCAAAGCUAUGCGCGUUUCAACGCAGACGAGAAUAAUAUUGAUACUUU